ensembl:snoRNA small nucleolar RNA SNORA33
AAGUCUGCCAAUUAGUCUGCCUAUCUGAAUGUGUUUCUUAACUUCUGAAAAUCUGGCAAUAGUGAUACCAUAUUGUGAGCCUGAAGGACAACUAAAUUCUUUCAUGUCCCUGAAAAUGGCUACAAUA